AGAGUUUGAUCCUGGCUCAGGAUGAACGCUGGCGGCGUGCUUAACACAUGCAAGUCGAACGGAGCUUAUUUGAUAGAGACUUCGGUCAAUUGAUUCUAAGCUUAGUGGCGGACGGGUGAGUAACGCGUGAGGAACCUGCCUUGGAGUGGGGAAUAACACAGAGAAAUUUGUGCUAAUACCGCAUAAUGCAGUUGGGUCGCAUGGCCCUGACUGCCAAAGAUUUAUCGCUCUAAGAUGGCCUCGCGUCUGAUUAGCUAGUUGGUAGGGUAACGGCCUACCAAGGCGACGAUCAGUAGCCGGACUGAGAGGUUGGCCGGCCACAUUGGGACUGAGACACGGCCCAGACUCCUACGGGAGGCAGCAGUGGGGAAUAUUGGGCAAUGGGCGCAAGCCUGACCCAGCAACGCCGCGUGAAGGAAGAAGGCUUUCGGGUUGUAAACUUCUUUUGUCAGGGACGAAUAAAUGACGGUACCUGACGAAUAAGCCACGGCUAACUACGUGCCAGCAGCCGCGGU
rnacentral:rRNA from 1 species